GGCAUUUAAGAAACUCUUAGAUAGGUACAUGAAUAACAUAAAUUGAGGGUUAUAUAGCAGGGAAGAGUUAAGUGGUUUUUAGAGUAAGUUAUAACAUUGUGGGCUGACGGGCCUGUACUGUAUUGUCAGUUCUAUGUUCUGAAAAGUGGGUGGGUUUAGUGGUGGCCAGGGUUGACUCAUUGACCUUGGCUUGGUUUUUGAGGGUAAGUGGAUAAUCUUUGCUCUAACUCAGUGUCUGUUCACUGAUUCACUUUCCCCCUUCAUUCAGCAUGCCAAAAUGAUUUCUGAUGUCAAUGGUUCAGUCUGCUGGACUAAGCUGUGCAGGGACUGAGUUAACAUGGUGUCUGGACCAUUUUCAUGUUUGCUUCCGAGGUGAAACGUGUUUCAACGUGCAAUCAUAUUAUCCAGUGCAAUAUAUUUAACUAAUUCUGUGGUUGCUUUCAGAGUUUGGACUUCAAAUACUAUUUAAAAAUUCAAGUUAUUAAAUGUACUAAUAAUUAGAAACUAUAUGCAUUUCAGGUGUUUGUCUAAAACAAAGAAUGUGUUUCUUUUUCCAUUCACUGACAUAUGGUGUAUAAUUUUUAAGUGUUGUUGCGUCCUGGUACCUGGAUGACAAUUUUGAUCCACUGAUGUAAAUUGCUGCUGUGAAGGUGCUUAUAGUUUUGCCUUUUAAAAUGUAUGCAGGCUUGAAGUGAUCUAAUAGUAAACUUGUAAACCAGCUUUUUUUUUUGUGCUCUCUUGUAUAGUUCGGAGAUUAUUUAGCAGUUUCGCUGAAAGUUUUGAUCACAAGUUUGGGGAAUUUAGUCUUUCAAGGCAAAGUUCUGUAACACUCCGGCUCUGAGUAAAUAGUAGUCAGUGCACUACAGAACUUUGUUUUGAGAGUCACUUCACUUUGGAUCAAAGCUAUAGAUCGAGAGAUUUGGUAAUCGUUCCUGGGCAGGUUGAAGGUUGGGAUCAGAAAGGAUGAUGGUGCUGCUGCUAAAGACUUUUAAAAUGUAAUCAUAAUACCUUUUGUAGUCUUUUCCAAUGUAAUAUUAAAGUACUUGAUACGGUUCACAAUAUUUCAGAAUUGUCAAAAUCUGUACUGCUUGUUUAGAUUUUAUUUUAUUGGUCUUAUGUGAAAAAAUAUAUUUUUUAUUAUUCUGUUAAUGUAAGUAUGCCAUUGCUUUAAAAAUCAAUUGAUUAAUAUUACAAGUUCACGUUCAAUUAUCAUUCAACCAUACACCUGUCUAUAGCUAAACAGAACAGUGUUCCUCGAGGGCCAAUAUACAAAACACAUUAUAUACAGUCACACGGUUACAAUAGCACAGACAGUCACAAAAACAUAUUAGCACAAAUCCCUGGUUUAAAACCAAAAAGGCCAUAAGCCUUAGGAGCAGAAUUAGGCCAUUUGGCCCAUCGAGUCUGCUCCACCAUUCAAUCAUGGCUGAUCCUUUUUUCCUCUCAGCCCCACUCCCAGGCCUUCUCCCUAUUGUCUUUGAUGUCGUGUCCAAUCAAGAACCUAUCAGGCUUUGCCUUAAAUACACCCAACGACCUGGCUCCACAGCUGUCUGUAGUUUUAAAAAAAAUUUCACCAUUUCAGCACCCUCUGGCUAAAGAAAUUUCUCCACAUCUGUUUUAAAUGGACGUCGCUCUAUCCUGAGGCUGUGCCCUCUUGUCCUAGACUUCCCCACCAUUUCAACAUUCGAAAGGUUUAAAUGAGAUUCUGUGUGGACAGACCCAGAGCUAUCAAACGUCCCUUGUAUGAUAAUCCUUUCAUUCCCAGAAUCAACCUUCUGAACCUCCUCUGAACCCUCUCCGAUGCCAGCACAUCUUUUAGAUGAGGAGCACAAAGCUGUUCACUAUACUCAAGAUGCUGCCUGACUUGCUGAGUUCCUCCAGCACUUUGUGUGUGUUAUUCUGGAAAUAUCACUAUCACCUUCUCCAGAUGAACUUGGAAUGUGUUUGUUUUAUUUGGAGUAACCUUUGACACUCUGAGCCUAUCAGCCUCAGCUUUAAACAUACCCAAUGAGUUGACCUCCACAGCCGUCUGUGGCGAUGUAUCCUACAGAUUCACCACCCGCUCACUAAAGAAAUUCCUCACCUGUUCUAAAGGGAUGUCCUUCUUUAAAUCCUAUAGUGAUGUCUUUGACCAAGAAGUCUUCUCAACGCAUAGUUUAAAUGGGAUCCACUAGGAUGAACAUUGACUUAAUUAUGAUUAUUGAUGCAGUCAUGAAGAAGGCGCACCAGUGACUACACUUCAUUAGGAGUCUGAUGAGAUUUUGUAUGUCACCAAAGACUCUACCAAGUUUCUACAGAUGUAGCAUGGAGAGCACUCUAACUGAUUGCCUGGUGUGGAGGAUCCAAUGUACAGUACAAAAGAGGUUACAGAGGGCUGUAGGCUCAGCCUGCUUCAUCACGGGCACAAGCUUCCCCACCAUGGAGGACAUCUGGAAAAGGCGAUGCCUGAUGAAGGUGGCAUCCGUCCUUAUGGACCCUUAUCACUCAGAACUCUCAUCGCUGCGAUCAUGAGCCUGAAGACACACACUCAAUAUUUGAGGAAUGGCUUCUUCCUUCAGGUUUCUGAAAGGUUUAUGACACCACUUCUCUACUCUUUUGCACUAUUUUAUUAUUUGCAACUUAAAAUUUACUUAUUUUUUAUUGCAAGUUACAGUAUUGUUUUAUGUAUUACACCGUACUGCUGUCACAGAAUAACAAAUGCUAGCACAGAUGUCAGUGAAAAUAAUUAUGAAUCUGACUGAUAUAUUUACAAUAAUUUGACGGCUUCUAAUGUAUUAAGGAUUAGGUUUAUUUGUCAUGUGCAUCAAAACAUACAGUGAAAUGCAUGAUUUGUGUCGAUGACCAACACAGUCCGAUGAUGGGUUAGGGGCAGCCUGCAAGUAUCGCCAUGCUUCCGGUGCCAAUGUAGCAUGCCCACAACUUACUAGCUCUCACCCAUAUGUCUUUGGGAGCAAACCAGAGAUUCCAGGAGAAGCGACAUGUUCCCAGGGAGAACCUACAAGCACCUUAUAGACAGCAGUGGGAAUUGAACCCCAAUUACUUUUGUUGUAACUGUACUGUUAACUUCUCUGCCACCCAAAUGAUUCAAUUUCUUGCUGAGAUCCCACAAGUACAGGUCUUAGCUGUGAUAUCAAAGUGUUCGGACCAGGACAGGCUAUGGAUGAUGUUCACAUUUAGGAGCUUGAAACUCUCAGCCUCAACACUGUAGAUGUAAAUGGGAGUGCUAUUCCCCUUUCCGAAUUCAAUGACAAACUCCUUCAUUUUGUUUUAGAUUAUUCAAGAGUGGUAAGUUUAACUGGCUGGAGUAUUGCCCAAGAGAAUGCAGCUGGGAAUCAUUUCAGUCUCUGUGAUAAAGAAUGGAAAGUUCCAGGGUUUUAUUUGGGGACAAUAAAGGAAGAGAAAUUAUAGUUCCAAGUCACCAUUAUUUGACCUGGAAGGGAAUGUGGAACAGCUUGUGUUUCCAAGUACCAGCUCUCUUUGUUCUUCUAGAAGGUCAAGGUCCAGGGUAAAUCUUGAGUCAAUAUUUAAAAACAUUGUCCUUUAGUUGAGCAAAUAUCUAAUUCACUUAUAGUCAGGUUCAUAACUGAGAAAUUGAGAAUCUAAUCUAAAUACUUUGUGAAUACUUUGUUUCAUACUGAUCUUGUUAAAAAUAUAAUAUACUGUACACAUAUGCAAACGGUGUAUACCAGGCAGUAAUAUUUUAACAGAUGAAUGUUUUUACAUGGUGAGGUUUUUGAGGGUGAGGAGGAUGUUUAAGGGUCUCAUUAUAUUUUGGGUCACAUGGAAUUUUGUGUAUAAGAUCACAUGGAAUAUUUAAUUUUAUUAAUUGAUAUGAAUGAUUGCAUUAUCUUAUUUAUAACAGAAGAUUGAGGUACUACAGCAGUUAAAGACAUCUUAAGGAUGCUGGUAUUAGACAGUUUACUCUCGAUAAUGUACAAGGACAACUUUUUUUCUCACUCAUGCCUUUUUGAAACAUUAAUAUAGCAGUUAGUGUAGUUUACUGUGCCGGUGAUCAGAAAAUGGGUUCAGUUUUCACCGCUGUCUGUAAGGGGUUUGUACCUCAGAGCUUGAAGGUCUCUCUCAACCCUUUCAGCGUCAACACCAUUCCUGUAGAUGCCAGCAUGUGCACCACCACCCCCCUUUCUGAAGUGAAUGACCAGCUCUUCUGACAUUGACACCAUGUCACUAAGUUCUCUAUCUCCUUCUUGAGCUCUGACAUUUUGUUAUUUGAGAUGUGGCCCACGACAGUGGUAUUAUCAGUAAACUUGCAGAUGGAGUUAGAUCUUGGGGUAUCUGCGGUUCUGCCACGUAGGUGACGUAGCUUUGCACAGUGGCACGGCAUUUUGAAGCUCAGACUGCCAAGUAAAUUUAUUAUCAAAGUACAUGCAUGUCGCCAGAUUCAUUUUCUUGUGGGCAUCCGCAAGGAAACGCAACAGAAUUGAUGAAAAACUGCACACAACAAAGGUGGACGAACAAUCAAUGUGCAGAAGCCAACAAGUCCAGUCACUUUUUAUUGUCAUUUCGUUCGACCGUAACUGCUGGUACAGAACACAGUAAAAAUGAGACAGUGUUUUUCAGGACCAUGGUGCUAAGAAAUGGAAUAAAUAUUCAGAUCAUGAGUAGUUUUGAGAGCGUGGGUAGUUUUACAGACCCAGCUGUAAGAACAGGGUUCAAUUUCUGCCGCUAUCUGUGGGGAGUUAGUGCAUUCUCCACACGUCCACAUGUUUUUUCUCUGGAUGCUCCGGGAGAGGGGAGGGAAUGAGAAGCACCAGAGAGACAUUCUGUAAUAAACAGUUGUUGUUUCGAAUCAAAUGACUUUGCCUGGUGUCUCAGGGCUGGGUGUAUCUCCACCCACGCCCCACCCCCCUGGCAUUCUUCUGCCACUUAUCCCACACCCCUCUCAUGGCAGUCCACCCUCACCAUUCUGAACAUCUUUUGUUUCCACCUGAUGUUCAAAACUCUCUGCCUGCUCCAUGUUGAUAAAUACAGUACCGUGCAAAAGACUUCUGCACAGUGUCAUACAGAUUAAGGUUAGCAAGUUGUUGGAAUGUUAUGUUGGCGCAGGAAGUGUGUCAGCACUUCCGGGCUGCCCCCCCAGCACAUCCUCAGACCAUAUAGAAUCCUAGAAAUCUACAGUACAUUACAGGCCCUUCGGCCCACAUGUAACCUACUCUAGAAACUGCCUAGAAUUACCCUACUGCAUAGCCCUCGAUUUUUUUUUUCCAAGCUCCAUGUACCUAUCUAAGAGUCUCUUAAAAUACCCUAAUGUAUCUGCCUCUACUACUGUGCUGGCAGUGCGUUCCAUGUACCCACAGCUGUGUGUGCAAAAUUUACCUCUGACAACCCCUUGUAUCUACCUCAAAGCACCUUAAAACUUUGCCCCCUCACGUUAGCCAUCUCAGCCCUGGGGAAAAGCCUCUGACUAUCCACAUGAUCAAUGCCUCUCAUCAUCUUAUACACCUCCAUCAGGUCACCUCUCAUCCUUUGUCGUUCCAAGGAGAAAAGGCCAAGAUCACUCAACCUAUUCUUGUUGGUCAGCGACACAAAUGACACAUUUUACUGUAUGUUUCAAUAUACACUUCACUUUAUUUUUUAAGAGUAACGUGCUUUGACAAAUGAAGCAGAUGAAAUCAGUCUAGUACGUUCAAUAAUCUUCCAUUAAUUCAGAAGAUCAGCCGACAUAAGCUGGUGACACAUAUUUGUGGGCAGCUGAAUGCUCCACUGUUGACUGAGUCAAAUCCUUAAUUUGAGGUCAAGAAAAGCCACUUGGGGCUGCUCCCAGAACUUUCCUUACACCUGAUGCAGAGUGAAGAUAAUGUCCACUCUGCCUUGAAAUGAGCUCCUUUUUGAGCACUAGUGAGAGGUGACUGUAGGGAGCCCUGGCAGUGCCUUGUCUGUGGCUGACCCAUUACAAAGGUGCUGGUAAUCAGAAUCAGGAAAGACAGCACAUCAUAUCAUUUUUCAGGAGCAAUUUGAGAGCAAGGAUUACAUUUGAUCUCUGGCACACUUGCCUUUUCUGUGUAUGAUGAGAGAAUGCAUUCAGAUUUUGUUCAUGUCUUUGCUCUCCCCCCCCCCUCCUUUUUACAUUCAUACACACAGGAGACUGAGGGGAGAGCUGAUAGAGCUCUACAAGAUUAUGAGAGGAAUAAAUAGAGAGUACCUGUUUCCCAAGGAUGAAAUGUCUAGUACCAGAGGGUGUGCAUUGAAGGUGAGAGGGUAAGUUUUUUUUCCUCAAAGUGGCUGUCUGGUGGUAGAGUGGUAGAGGCAAAUACAUCAGAGGCUUUUAGAAGGUGUCUGGGCAGGCACAUGAAUGUAAGGAAGAUGGAGGGAUAGGGACAUGAUGUUGGUAGGAGGAGUUGGUGCUGGGUUCUUGAUUUGCUUUUCAGCUGGUUCAGCAGAGCAUUGUGGGCUGAAUGGCCUGUUCCUGUACUUGUACUGCUCUGUGUACAUUGAAACAGACAGUGAAAUGCUUCUUUUGCAUUAAUCAAUAAUGUAAAAUUGAUUAACAUAUCUUCAUGUAUUUUGUUAUGUCACCAAAGUCACUUGGCAAAUUUCUACAAAUGCACCGUGGAGUCUGUUCUAGUUGCGUUAUCACCAUUUGGUGUGGGGAAGAUUAAGGGGAUUGCAUGGGAUUGAUUAAGCCGCAGAAAGUUGUAUGCUCUUUUGGAUCUGUCCUGGGCACUAGCUUCCCUGGCCUCCAGGGCAUCUUCAAGGAGCAAUGCUUCGAAAAGGUGGUGUUCAUCAUUAAGGGCCCCCAUCAUCCAGGAUAUGCCCAUUUCUCAUUGCUAUCCUCAGGGAGGAGGUGCAGGAGCCUGAAGGCACACACUCAAUGAUUCAGGAACAGAUCCUUCCCCUCUGCCAUCCAAUUUCUGAAUGGGCACUGAACCCAUGAACACCACCUCACUACUUUUUUGCAUGACUUAUUGCAUUUAGCUUUUUAAUAUAUUUACUGUAAUUCACAAAUUUUAUUAUGUGUUGCAAUGUUCUGCUGCUGCAUAACGACAGGUUUCAUGACAUACACCAGUGAUAUGAAACCGGAUUCUCACAUUCAGUAUUGUGCAUUGUCUUUUGCAUUCUCCAUCCUUUAGAAAUGAAUCAAAACAAAGUUAAUUAUCACUGACAGCUUGUUGUUUUGCAGCAACAAUGGAGAGAUAGAAACCAGUGAUUAAAGUGUGAUAGAACAACUGAAAGAUUUAUAAAGUUUUAGAAAAGACAAUUGCAGUUUAUCUGGGAAUGCCACGUGGAAUGCAGAUAUACUUUCUCAUUUAUUCGUUCCAGAGGUCUGAUUCUUAUUUUGUUAAAUAUAAUAUUUUUGCAUGAGGUGGCUUCAUGUGACAGAAUAUGCUGCAAUCUUAACAGAGCAAAACAUUGAUAAUACAGGACACCACAGCUUUCAGUUUUAAACAAAGGAAUAGAAGUACUUGGAGGGUGAAGUGGAAUCUAUGCAACCUCCUCACAUGCCCUUUGUCCUGCUUAGUUGUUCUUAGUGCAUGAUUUUUAUUUUUACAGUCUCUGUCUUGCAGUUUUAAAGCAUUACAGGAAUAAAUUCCAUGAAAGAGAAGUAAAGGAAAUUGCUUGUAAAGCCUCAUCCUUGAGUGGGGGUUGGGGUGAGGUGAUGGAUGGCCUCCAUAGAAUCCUUCUUUUGUUUCAGUCAUGUUUUGUAAUUAAGAUAAUAGACCGCAUACGAAGGAAGGUCUCUUAGCUUCUAAUUGUUGACCAUUUGUGAACCACACCAUGUGAUUAUCAACAGUAUUGUGUUGAAUGUGUUUUCUUUUACGAUAUUAUUCUCUGUAACAAACAAUGAACGUUACUGCAAUAUGAUAACCAGAACCCGGAAUGACUUUCUUUUUAUGACUGACAGGAAGAAGCCGCAAAAUCAAAAUUUCCUCAAUGUUCUUCUCAAUUUUCUGAGUAUUUAAGAAUGGUUAAGGCUGACAGGAAGGCGACAGUGGCUCAGAUAGCCACAUGUUACAAUAGUGGCAUGCUUAAAAGCAUCUCUGAAUCUUGAAGUAGAUGGGUGGAGGAGCAGAAGACCACAAACGUACUGCUAGGGCGUGUUCUGGAGAGAGGAUAUAUGGUAAAUAUUAGUUUCCACAGUGUGGUGAACUACAUUUACCUGUCUGGACAUGCCCCCCCCCCCGCUGACUGCUCCUGUGGCUCCCCCCACAGACCCCGGUAUAAAGGCGAUUGGGGCCUGAGCCCUGCCCUCAGUCUCCAGGAUGCAGUGUGGUGGUCAAUUGCUGCUUGUUCUUUCUUCCAGUCAAUAAAAGCCGAUAUCUCGCCUCACGUCUCAGAGAGUUAUUGAUGGUGCAUCACACAGCAUCCUAUCUUCAGAUUUGAAUGUGGAUUGUAGAUCGAAUUUAGAAUGCAGCUCUGAACAAUAGUCUUCCCGGAGCUGACUGCAAUGCAGGAAACCCAUUCACAUGAUGUCCCCAUAUUCAUGAAUAGAGAGCCGAUGCUGAUUAAUGUUCGUUUUGGGUGUCUGGAGCAUGGGUGUGAAGGCGGUGUUUGAAGACUAUAUGCAAUUCAAAGGAAGUAUUGUAGAUAUUGUAACUAUAGAAUUGUCCUACUGAUACCUUUGAUCUUUAGCAUAUAAAAAUGUCACGUAAUAUUGGAUUGGGCAGGCCACUUCUUCCAAUAAUAUCUCGUCUCUUCAGUGACUUUGUUUACUGUCACAACACAUGCACUCAGAGGCCACUCUAUCAGAUACAGGAGGUACCUAAUAAAGUGGCCAUUGAAGGUAUAUUUGUAAACAACAUUUACUAUUUGUGUUU